AUUGAACGCUGGCGGCAGGCCUAACACAUGCAAGUCGAACGAGUGGCGGAAUGGUGCGUAAUGUAUGGGCAACUGCCUGAUGGCGGGGGAUAACUACUGGAAACGGUAGCUAAUACAGCAUACCAUGCGAUGGGCCCAGAUGGGAUUAGCUGGUAGGAGGGGUAAAGGCUAACCUAGGCGACGAUCACUAGCUGGUCUGAGAGGAUGACCAGCCAGACUGGAAAUGAGACACGGGCCAGACGCCUACGGGAGGCAGCAGUGGGGAAUAUUGCACAAUGGGCGCAAGACUGAGGCAGCCAUGCCGCGUGUAUGAAGAAGGCCUUCGGGUUGUAAAGUACUUUCAGCGGGGAGGCGUUACCCGCAGAAGAAGCACCGGCUAACUCCGUGCCAGCAGCCGCGGUAAUAC
rnacentral:rRNA from 1 species